UCUGUUCCUGAUCCCUGCCAAACACAAGGAGGUGGAUCCGGUGGCCAAGGAGGAUUUAUGGCCCAGUCAUAUGGCAGCUCAGGUGGACAAGGUUCCUGCUCUGUUCCUGAUCCCUGCCAAACACAAGGAGGUGGAUACGGUGGCCAAGGAGGAUUGAUGGCCCAGUCAUAUGGCAGCUCAGGCGGACAAG